rnacentral:snoRNA from 1 species
CUUCCCAUUUGACUACCACUUUUUCAGUUUACAGGUUGAGUGGCUAUGCUUAUGGGAUAGAAAAAAAACACUGCCAGAGUCUGAAGGAGAAGAUUGACAAUAUCUUUUUCCUAUAUGAAAUGGCAGAACACAACAUG